UUGUCCUGUGACUGCGUACCUUUUGUAUAAUGGGUCAGCGACUUAUAUUCAGUGGCAAGGUUAACCAUCUAGGGGAGCCGUAGGGAAACCGAGUCUUAACUGGGCGUUCAGUCUCUGGAUAUAGACCCGAAACCAGGUGAUCUAGCCAUGGGCAGGUUGAAGGUUGAGUAACAUCAACUGGAGGACCGAACCGACUAAUGUUGAAAAAUUAGCGGAUGACUUGUGGCUAGGGGUGAAAGGCCAAUCAAACCUGGAGAUAGCUGGUUCUCCCCGAAAGCUAUUUAGGUAGCGCCUCGGACGAAUACUACUGGGGGUAGAGCACUGUUAAGGCUAGGGGGUCAUCCCGACUUACCAACCCUUUGCAAACUCCGAAUACCAGUAAGUACUAUCCGGGAGACACACGGCGGG
rnacentral:rRNA from 1 species